rnacentral:rRNA from 1 species
CGGGGUGCAGCAGGCGCGAAAACUUUACAAUGCGGGAAACCGUGAUAAGGGGACACCGAGUGCCAGCAUCAUAUGCUGGCUGUCCGGGUGUGUAAAAUACACCCGUUAGCAAGGGCCGGGCAAGACCGGUGCCAGCCGCCGCGGUAACACCGGCGGCCCGAGUGGUGAUCGUGAUUAUUGGGUCUAAAGGGUCCGUAGCCGGUUUGGUCAGUCCUCCGGGAAAUCUGACGGCUUAACCGUUAGGCUUUCGGGGGAUACUGCCAGGCUUGGAACCGGGAGAGGUAAGAGGUACUACAGGGGUAGGAGUGAAAUCUUGUAAUCCCUGUGAGACCACCUGUGGCGAAGGCGUCUUACCAGAACGGGUUCGACGGUGAGGGACGAAAGCUGGGGGCACGAACCGGAUUAGAUACCCGGGUAGUCCCAGCCGUAAACGAUGCUCGCUAGGUGUCAGGCAUGGCGCGACCGUGUCUGGUGCCGCAGGGAAGCCGUGAAGCGAGCCACCUGGGAAGUACGGCCGCAAGGCUGAAACUUAAAGGAAUUGGCGGGGGAGCACAAGGGCAAUUGC